UAUACAUGCAGUCGAGCGGACAGAUGGGAGCUUGCUCCCUGAUGUUAGCGGCGGACGGGUGAGUAACACGUGGGUAACCUGCCUGUAAGACUGGGAUAACUCCGGGAAACCGGGGCUAAUACCGGAUGGUUGUUUGAACCGCAUGGUUCAAACAUAAAAGGUGGCUUCGGCUACCACUUACAGAUGGACCCGCGGCGCAUUAGCUAGUUGGUGAGGUAACGGCUCACCAAGGCAACGAUGCGUAGCCGACCUGAGAGGGUGAUCGGCCACACUGGGACUGAGACACGGCCCAGACUCCUACGGGAGGCAGCAGUAGGGAAUCUUCCGCAAUGGACGAAAGUCUGACGGAGCAACGCCGCGUGAGUGAUGAAGGUUUUCGGAUCGUAAAGCUCUGUUGUUAGGGAAGAACAAGUACCGUUCGAAUAGGGCGGUACCUUGACGGUACCUAACCAGAAAGCCACGGCUAACUACGUGCCAGCAGCCGCGGUAAUACGUAGGUGGCAAGCGUUGUCCGGAAUUAUUGGGCGUAAAGGGCUCGCAGGCGGUUUCUUAAGUCUGAUGUGAAAGCCCCCGGCUCAACCGGGGAGGGUCAUUGGAAACUGGGGAACUUGAGUGCAGAAGAGGAGAGUGGAAUUCCACGUGUAGCGGUGAAAUGCGUAGAGAUGUGGAGGAACACCAGUGGCGAAGGCGACUCUCUGGUCUGUAACUGACGCUGAGGAGCGAAAGCGUGGAGAGCGAACAGGAUUAGAUACGCUGGUAGUCCACGCCGUAAACGAUGAGUGCUAAGUGUUAAGGCGGUUUCCGCCCCUUAGUGCUGCAGCUAACGCAUUAAGCACUCCGCCUGCGGAGUACGGUCGCAAGACUGAAAACUCAAAGGAAUUGACGGGGGCCCGCACAAUCGGUGCAGCAAGUGGUUUAAUUCGAAGCAACGCGAAGAACCUUACCAGGUCUUGACAUCCUCUGACAAUCCUAUAAAUAGGACGUCCCCUUCGGGGGCAGACUAAUAGUGGGUGCAUGGUUGUUUUCCGCUCGAGACGGGAGAUGUUGGGUAAAAUCCCGUCACCAACGCAACCCUUGAUCUUAGUUGU
rnacentral:rRNA from 1 species